UGGCGGACGGGUGAGUAACGCGUGGGUAACCUGCCUCAUACAGGGGGAUAACAGUUAGAAAUGACUGCUAAUACCGCAUAAGACCACAGCACCGCAUGGUGCAGGGGUAAAAACUCCGGUGGUAUGGGAUGGACCCGCGUCUGAUUAGGUAGUUGGUGGGGUAACGGCUUACCAAGCCGACGAUCAGUAGCCGACCUGAGAGGGUGACCGGCCACAUUGGGACUGAGACACGGCCCAG
rnacentral:rRNA from 1 species